GACGGGGCCCCUCGUUACGCCGACACCGCUGAGUAUGUCGUGUCAUCGGUCGACCGACAGCUGGCCGAGACACGUCAUCAAACUGACAGAAAGAAGAUGCGAUGAAAAAUUGAAAGUCAUGCAGUUGAACUCAGUUCGGAUUGUUCUAGGAAUUUAUUAAGCUAGACAAAAUACUAUUCUACCUAAUCUAAAUUUGAUAUUCUACUUAAUUCUACCUUACACCUAAAGUUCUGUACGCAUUCUACAGUUUGAAUUCUGAAUCGCUAUCGCGUGCAGACUUGCCGAUCCAAUCACUCUCCGCUCAGAAAUUGUCGGUUCACUAAAAUCUUGAAGCUUACCACCAACGACAAAUUUGAGUUUGCUAUCCAGAUUUAGUGAAGAACCCCAACACCUACUAACGAAUAUAAUCUAACCUCAUCUCCUCCACCCCGGUCCGUAGUGCACACGCCUAUGUCGAUCACAGGCAGGACAAGACUAGAAACAAGGGCAAACAGACAGGUGUUUGCUUUGCAGUGGAAUUUAAACGGUUUCAUUAAUAAUCUUCCUGAUCUUGAACAGUUAGUACGAGACAAACAACCUGCACUAAUAGC